rnacentral:tRNA from 1 species
GAGGGUAUAGCUCAGUGGUAGAGUGCAUGCUUGGCAUGCACGAGGUCCUGGGUUCCAUCUCCAGUGCCUUCG